rnacentral:rRNA from 1 species
UAAGGAAUAUUGGACAAUGGACGGAAGUCUGAUCCAGCCAUCCCGCGUGGAGGAAUAAGGCCCUAUGGGUUGUAAACUCCUUUAGCAGGGGAAUAAAAAGGUCAUUCAUGAUCAAUUGAAGGUACCCUGAGAAUAAGCACCGGCUAACUCCGUGCCAGCAGCCGCGGUAAUACGGAGGGUGCAAGCGUUAUCCGGAUUUACUGGGUUUAAAGGGUGCGUAGGCGGACUAUUAAGUCAAAUGUGAAAGCUUGCAGCUCAACUGUAAGAUUGCGUUUGAUACUGGUAGUCUUGAAUAUGGUAGAAGUUGGCGGAAUAAAUCAUGUAGCGGUGAAAUGCUUAGAUAUGAUUUAGAACACCGAUUGCGAAGGCAGCUAGCUAUGUCAUAAUUGACGCUGAGGCACGAAAGCGUGGGGAUCAAACAGG